AAUCGAACCCGGAGAUAGCUGGUUCUCCUCGAAAUAGCUUUAGGGCUAGCCUCGCAUUAGUUUACCGGAGGUAGAGCACUGAAUGGUCUAGGGGGCCUCACCGCCUACCGAAACCUAUCAAACUGCGAAUGCCGGAUAAAUGAUGUGCGGGAGUCAGGCCGCGAGAGAUAAGUUCCGCGGUCAAAAGGGGAACACCCCAGAUCGUCUGCUAAGGUCCCCAAGUACGCGUUAAGUGGGAAAGGAUGUUGGAUUGCACAGACAACCAGGAUGUUGGCUUAGAAGCAGCCACACAUUCAAAGAGUGCGUAAUAGCUCACUGGUCGAGUGAUCCAGCGCCGAAAAUGUAACGGGGCUAAAACGCGACACCGAAGCAGCGGGAUGCGUAAGCAUCGGUAGAGGAGCAUUGUGUGAGGGUUGAAGCCAGAGCGGGAGCACUGGUGGACUUCACAGAAGAGAGAAUGCCGGUAUGAGUAGCGAGACCCAUGCGAGAAACAUGGGCGUCGAAGGCCCAAGGUUUCCUGGGGAAGGUUCAUCCACCCAGGGUAAGUCGGGACCUAAGCCGAGGACUGAGGUCGUAGGCGAUGGACAGCAGGUAGAGAUUCCUGCACCACUUACACUUGUUUGACGAAGCAGUGACACAGAAGGAUAGGACGAGCGCGGUGAUGGUCAACCGCGUAGGCGGCACGAGGCCGGGAAGCAGUGAAGUACACUUCCCGCAAAGGCUGAGUGUUGACAGGACCGAAAAGAAGUAGGGAAGCGUCCGAGUUCACGCUGGCGAGAAAAGCUGCUAAGGAGAGUGUGAGUGCCCGUACCGGAAACCGACGCAGGUGGGCGAGGAGAGAAUCCUGAGACGGACGGGAGAACUCUUGUUAAGGAACUCGGCAAAAUGACCCCGUAACUUCGGGAGAAGGGGUGCCUCGAAAGAGGCCGCAGAGAAUAGUCACAAGCGACUGUUUAGCAAAAACACAGGUAUCUGCGAAAGCGAGAGCUGACGUAUAGGUGCUGACACCUGCCCGGUGCUGGAAGGUUAAGGGAACAUGUUAGAGCAAUCGAAGCAUCGAACCGAAGCCCCAGUAAACGGCGGCCGUAACUAUAACGGUCCUAAGGUAGCGAAAUUCCUUGUCGGGUAAGUUCCGACCCGCACGAAUGGUGUAACGACUUGUGAGCUGUCUCAACAGGGGGCCCGGUGAAAUUGAAGUAUGGGUGAAGAUGCCCAUUACCCGCGACUGGACGGAAAGACCCCGUAGAGCUUUACUGCAGCCUGAUAUUGAGUUUCGGUAACUGAUGCACAGGAUAGGUGGGAGUCUGAGAGACAUGGGUUUCGGCUCGUGUGGAGACGAUGUUGGGAUACCACUCUUCGGUUACUGAAAUUCUAACAUAGCUCUGUGAAACCAGAGGAUGGACAGUGUCAGGUGGACAGUUUGACUGGGGCGGUCGCCUCCGAAAGAGUAACGGAGGCGCCCAAAGGUACCCUCAGAAUGGAUGGAAACCAUUCGAAGAGAGCAAAGUCAGAAGGGUGCUUGACUGCGAGACCAACAAGUCGAGCAGGUACGAAAGUAGGGCUUAGUGAUCCGGCGGUAAGAGAGUGGAAUUGCCGUCGCUCAACGGAUAAAAGCUACCUCGGGGAUAACAGGCUGAUCUCCCCCAAGAGUCCACAUCGACGGGGAGGUUUGGCACCUCGAUGUCGGCUCGUCGCAUCCUGGGGCUGAAGCAGGUCCCAAGGGUUUGGCUGUUCGCCAAUUAAAGCGGCACGCGAGCUGGGUUCAGAACGUCGUGAGACAGUUCGGUCCCUAUCCAUCGUGGGCGUAGGAGUCAUGAGAGGAGCUGUUCCUAGUACGAGAGGACCGGAAUGGACGCACCACUGGUGCAACUGUUGUCGUGCCAACGGCAUAGCAGGGAAGCGAAGUGCGGACGGGAUAAACGCUGAAGGCAUCUAAGCGUGAAGCCCACCUCAAGAAUAAGACUCCACAAUAGACCCCUGGAGGACUACCAGGUAGAUAGGUCAUCGGUGGAAGCGCUGUAAGGCGUGU
rnacentral:rRNA from 1 species